rnacentral:lncRNA from 1 species
AGACAGUUCUAGGCGCUCAGGUCCGCAGCUGUGCUACCCCCGCCGCCCGGGACGCCCGGUCCCCGCCAGGGCCCUCUCACUGUAGCUUUAAGGAGGGCUGGGGCCGGGUGCAGCGGCACCUGGAGUCUCGGUGGAACCCGGCAGCGGUGGGCGCGGACCCCGGAGAGGCUGCCCCGAGCCCGAGCACCCCCUGACCGGGCGCUCACCACGGGUGUUGGGACAAGCAGCGGAGCCUGCGGGCUGGAGCCAGGCUCGGACCCUCCGCGCCGGGGCGGGCGGCCGAGCGGACGCAGCUGGCAGUGGCGGCGGGAGAGCGCCCCGGAUCCGCCCGGAGCCCAACCCCGUGGCACUUCGGCUGGCUGGGCAGCGGCGCUGGGGACAACGCGGGGCCUUCUGCAACGAGCGCCUGCGUGGGACUCCAGGGGCCGGCGCCCCGCUCCGCUCCCCCCAGGCCUCAACCCCGCUGGCUACCCGCGCUGAAACCUCACCUGCCGCCGGCUGCAAACGGACUGCGCUCCAGAAAGUGGCCCCCCACACGCCCUUCCUGGUGGCAGGAGCAGGGCAGUGGGCAGCGUUUCUGCCCUGCUCCAUGGGGCUGGGGUUGGAGGCGGCUCUCCCAUUCCUGCUGUCCGGACAGGAGCGGGGCCUUUCUAUCCGCAGACUUUUGCUGAAGACACUGUCCCCCGCCCCCGCCCCUACGCCAGCGGCAGAGAAGAGAUCCAGGCUGGCCCCGCUCCUGGUUGGUGGGCAGGGCAAGCUGGAGGGGGGGGCAGGUACUAAGUGUUGCUGUGGAAAUAAAAAUCAUUGUAACAGGAGAAUAA